GGUUAAGUAGUUACAUCUUAAGAUCAUUAUACAAUGAUUGUAAAAUAUGAUCUAAGAGUUACAUAGAAUGUAAAUAUUAUGUUCUAUAAUAUUAUUAUACUAUCUAUAGCCGUGGUGUGUUGAAAUCGCCGCCGCCGUGCCCGACAUCCCGUAGCUCGGUGAUUCGUUUCUCGACCGUUGACCGUUGUUUUAUCACGUAUAAUAAAAACGAAUUUUUAACCACGGUUUGUUUUGAAUUUUUUGCAAUGUUGGAUACUGCCGCACCAUUCACGUCUGAUUCACGGUUCUCCACUUACAUCAUUUAAAAAGAACCCAUGUGGGAAGUUCAUUGAAAGGCGACGAAAAGAGAUUAUAAUAAACUUAUAGAAAUACAAAAUUUCCGAACAACAAUCUAUUUAUGUUAAGAAAAUGGUGAAAUUGCUAUCCAAAGAAACGGGUAUUGGCCAGAAAACGAUCCAAACGACAAUUUCCAACUACAAGAACGCUAAACCAAUUCUAUCACCGAACAGAAAGAUGGUCGGGCUGACGUUUAAAGACAAAGUCGACGAUUUCGAACGGAAUGCAAUACGUAAAAAG